rnacentral:rRNA from 1 species
UACGGGGGGAGCAAGCGUUGUUCGGAUUUACUGGGCGUAAAGGGCGCGUAGGCGGUCAGCACAAGUCAGUUGUGAAAUCUCCGGGCUUAACUCGGAAAGGUCAACUGAUACUGUGCGACUAGAGUGCAGAAGGGGCAACUGGAAUCCUCGGUGUAGCGGUGAAAUGCGUAGAUAUCUGGAGGAACACCGGUGGCGAAGGCGGCAUCCUGGACCAACAUUGACGCUGAGGAGCGAAAGCUAGGGGAGCAAACGGG